UGGGGAAUAUUGCACAAUGGGGGAAACCCUGAUGCAGCGACGCCGCGUGAACGAAGAAGUAUUUCGGUAUGUAAAGUUCUAUCAGCAGGGAAGAUAAUGACGGUACCCUUGGAGGAAGCCCCGGCUAACUACGUGCCAGCAGCCGCGGUAAUACGUAGGGGGCAAGCGUUAUCCGGAAUUAUUGGGCGUAAAGAGUGCGUAGGUGGUUACCUAAGCAGGGGGUGAAAGGCAAUGGCUUAACCAUUGUUAGCCCCCUGAACUGGGCUACUUGAGUGCAGGAGAGGAAAGCGGAAUUCCUAGUGUAGCGGUGAAAUGCGUAGAUAUUAGGAGGAACACCAGUGGCGAAGGCGGAUUGCUGGACGACAACUGACGGUGAGGCGCGAAAGCGUGGGGAGCAAACAGGAUUAGAUACCCUGGGUAGU
rnacentral:rRNA from 1 species